rnacentral:pre_miRNA from 1 species
UUUGUACUCCCUCCAUCCGAAAAUAUUUGUCAUCAAAAUGGACAAAAAGGGAUGUAUCUAAAACUAAAAUACGUCUAGAUACAUUCCCUUUUAUUCAUUUUGAUGACAAGUAUUUCCGGACGGAGGGAGUAAAUA